rnacentral:rRNA from 1 species
UUUUUUAGUCUGGCCUGCCCACUGAAUUAUUGAAGGGCCGCGGUAUUUGGACCGUGCUAAGGUAGCAUAAUCAAUAGUCUCUUAAUUAGAGUCUAGAAUGAAUGGCUGGAUGAAAUGCAAUUUGUCUUCAAAUAUAGUGUUGAAUUUUACUUUUGAGUGAAAAGGCUUAAAUUAAGUAAAGGGACGAUAAGACCCUGUGAAGCUUUACUUUUAUUGAAUAUUAAAAUUGGGUAUUUAUGUGUUUAGGUUUAUAGUUAAUAGAAGUUGGGUUGGGGCGAUUGGAAUAUAAUUUUAACUGUUUUGAAAAUUGAAAUAAAUAAUUUUUAGUUGGUUGAUCUUAUAAUAUAGAUUAAAAAAUUUAAGUUACUCCAGGGAUAACAGCGUAAUUCUUUUUGAGAGUUCUUAUCGACAGAAGUAGUUGCGACCUCGAUGUUGAAUUAKGAUUUCACCAGGGUGUAGAAGUCUUGUUGUAGGUCUGUUC